rnacentral:lncRNA from 1 species
UCUUAUAUAUCUGCUUUGUAUACUUUUUUUUCAUUUUUUAUUAUUAUGAUUAUGAUAUCCAAAAGACGUCCAAAAUCAUAUAGUUUAGGAUAUAUAUAGUCGUCAACAUAAAAGUAUGACUUUAGGGUGCAAAAACUAAAAUAAAAUUUGAAUUUAAAAAUAUUAUAUAGUAAAACAAAAUAAAAAACUGAACUUUGACCUUAAUAAUAAAAAAAAUCCUAAUUAAACAAAAUUAAUAACGGCAGUUAGAACUGCUUCUCCAUUUCAAAUUCUUCUCACAAAUCCAACCAGCGGCGACCUAUCUCCC